AGAAUAGGCUCAAGCGACUGUUUACCAAAAACACAGGUCCGUGCGAAGUUGCAAAACGAUGUAUACGGACUGACGCCUGCCCGGUGCUGGAAGGUUAAGGGGACUGGUUAGCUCUUCGGAGCGAAGCUGAGAACUUAAGCCCCAGUAAACGGCGGUGGUAACUAUAACCAUCCUAAGGUAGCGAAAUUCCUUGUCGGGUAAGUUCCGACCUGCACGAAUGGCGUAACGACUUGAGCGCUGUCUCCACCAUGAACUCGGCGAAAUUGCAGUACGAGUAAAGAUGCUCGUUACGCGCGGAAAGACGGAAAGACCCCGGGACCUUUACUAUAUCUUGAUAUUGGUACUCGGAACGUUCUGUGUAGCAUAGGUGGGAGACUUUGAAGCGGCACGCCAGUGUUCGUGGAGUCAAAAAAUGAAAUACCACUCUGAACGUUUUGAGUUUCUAACCUCGGCCCAUUAUCUGGGUCAGGGACAGUGUCUGGUGGGUAGUUUAACUGGGGCGGUUGCCUCCCAAAAAGUAACGGAGGCGCUCAAAGGUUCCCUCAGCCUGGUUGGCAAUCAGGUGUCGAGUGUAAGUGCACAAGGGAGCUUAACUGUGAGACAGACAUGUCAAGCAGGUGCGAAAGCAGGAACUAGUGAUCCGGCGGUGGCUUGUGGAAGCGCCGUCGCUCAACGGAUAAAAGGUACCCCGGGGAUAACAGGCUGAUCUUGCCCAAGAGUCCAUAUCGACGGCAAGGUUUGGCACCUCGAUGUCGGCUCGUCUCAUCCUGGGGCUGGAGUAGGUCCCAAGGGUUGGGCUGUUCGCCCAUUAAAGAGGCACGCGAGCUGGGUUCAGAACGUCGUGAGACAGUUCGGUCCCUAUCUUCCGUGCGCGAAGGAAACUUGAGAAGGGCUGUCCCUAGUACGAGAGGACCGGGACGGACGAACCUCUUGUGUGUCGGUUGUUUCGCCAGAAGCACGGCCGAUUAGCAACGUUCGGAAGGGAUAACCGCUGAAAGCAUCUAAGCGGGAAGCUCGCUUCAAGAUUAGGUUUCCCACUGGUUUACCAGGUAAGACCCCCAAGAGACUAUUGGGUUGAUAGGCCGGAAGUGGAAGAGGCGCAAGCCUUGCAGCUGACCGGUACUAAUAGGUCGAGGAUUUAACUAC
rnacentral:rRNA from 1 species